rnacentral:rRNA from 1 species
UACGGGGGGAGCAAGCGUUGUUCGGAUUUACUGGGCGUAAAGCGCGCGUAGGCGGCUUUGCAAGCCGGAUGUGAAAUCCCCGGGCUUAACCUGGGAACUGCAUUCGGGACUGCAUUGCUCGAGUAUGGGAGAGGGAAGUGGAAUUUCAGGUGUAGCGGUGAAAUGCGUAGAUAUCUGAAGGAACAUCAGUGGCGAAAGCGACUUCCUGGACCAAUACUGACGCUCAUGUGCGAAAGCGUGGGGAGCAAACAGG